rnacentral:rRNA from 1 species
UACGUAGGGCGCAAGCGUUAUCCGGAAUUAUUGGGCGUAAAGAGCUCGUAGGCGGUUUGUCGCGUCUGCCGUGAAAGUCCGGGGCUCAACUCCGGAUCUGCGGUGGGUACGGGCAGACUAGAGUGAUGUAGGGGGAGACUGGAAUUCAUGGUGUAGCAGUGAAAUGCGUAGAGAUCAUGAGGAAGACCAGUGGCGAAGGCGGGUCUCUGGACAGUUCCUGACACUGAGGCACGAAGGCCAGGGGAGCAAACGGG